rnacentral:rRNA from 1 species
GAUGAACGCUGGCGGCGUGCCUAAUACAUGCAAGUCGAGCGAACAGACCAGGAGCUUGCUCCUCUGACGUUAGCGCCGGACGGGUGAGUAACACGUGGUUAACCUACCUAUACGACUGGGAUAACUUCGGGAAACCGGAGCUAAUACCGGAUAAUUUAUUGCACCGCAUGGUUCCAUAGUGAAAGUCGAUUUUUCUUUCACUUAUAGCGGGGUCCGCGCCGGAUUAGCUAGUUGGUAGGGUAACAGCUUACCAAGGCGACGAUGCAGAGCCGACCUGAGAGGAUGAUCAGCCACAAUGGGAAUGAGACACGGCCCAGACGCCUACGGGAGGCAGCAGUGGGGAAUAUUGGACAAUGGGCGAAAGCCUGAGACAGCAAUGCCGCGUGAGUGAUGAAGGCCUUAGGGUUGUAAAGCUCUUUUACCCGGGAUGAUAAUGACAGUACCGGGAGAAUAAGCGCCGGCUAACUCCGUG